AAACAGGAUUAGAUACCCUGGUAGUCCACGCCGUAAACGAUGUCUACUUGGAGGUUGUGCCCUUGAGGCGUGGCUUCCGGAGCUAACGCGUUAAGUAGACCGCCUGGGGAGUACGGCCGCAAGGUUAAAACUCAAAUGAAUUGACGGGGGCCCGCACAAGCGGUGGAGCAUGUGGUUUAAUUCGAUGCAACGCGAAGAACCUUACCUGGUCUUGACAUCCACAGAAGAAUCCAGAGAUGGAUUUGUGCCUUCGGGAACUGUGAGACAGGUGCUGCAUGGCUGUCGUCAGCUCGUGUUGUGAAAUGUUGGGUUAAGUCCCGCAACGAGCGCAAC
rnacentral:rRNA from 1 species